AUUGAACGCUGGCGGCAGGCUUAACACAUGCAAGUCGAGCAGGGUGAUGGUGCUUGCACUAUCACUUAGCGGCGGACGGGUGAGUAAUGCUUAGGAAUCUGCCUAUUAGUGGGGGACAACAUCUCGAAAGGGAUGUUAAUACCGCAUACGUCCUACGGGAGAAAGCAGGGGAUCACUUGUGACCUUGCGCUAAUAGAUGAGCCCAAGCCGGAUUAGCUAGUUGGUGGGGUAAAGGCCUACCAAGGCGACGAUCUGUAGCGGGUCUGAGAGGAUGAUCCGCCACACUGGGACGGAGACACGGCCCAGACUCCUACGGGAGGCAGCAGUGGGGAAUAUUGGACAAUGGGGGGAACCCUGAUCCAGCCAUGCCGCGUGUGUGAAGAAGGCCUUAUGGUUGUAAAGCACUUUAAGCGAGGAGGAGGCUCUUUUGGUUAAUACCCAAGAUGAGUGGACGUUACUCGCAGAAUAAGCACCGGCUAACUCUGUGCCAGCCGCCGCCGUAA
rnacentral:rRNA from 1 species